CGCGGCCAUCGCUGGGGCUCCGCUUCGGGGAGGAGGACGCUGAGGAGGCGCCGAGACGCGCAGCGCUGUGGGAGAGGCGCCCGCGCCGACGCUGGGCCCAUGUCACCCAGUAUGACGCCGUGCCCAUCCAGUCCAGCAUGGUGUUAUGUUCCUGCCCGUCCGCAUCAAUAGUGAGGACCCAGACUGAGUCCAGCACAGCCCCUGACAUUCCUGAUGGCAGCAGGCAGGGCCCCGCCGUGGACAGCACCGCAUCUGAGGCGGCCUGAGGACUUCAAGUUUGGGAAAAUUCUUGGGGAAGGCUCUUUUUCCACAGUUGUCCUGGCUCGAGAACUGGCAACCUCCAGAGAAUAUGCGAUUAAAAUACUGGAGAAGCGACAUAUCAUAAAAGAGAACAAAGUCCCGUAUGUAACCAGAGAGCGGGAUGUCAUGUCGCGCCUGGAUCACCCCUUCUUUGUUAAGCUUUACUUCACGUUUCAGGACGACGAGAAGCUGUAUUUCGGCCUUAGUUAUGCCAAAAAUGGAGAACUACUUAAAUAUAUUCGCAAAAUCGGUUCAUUUGAUGAGACCUGUACUCGAUUUUACACGGCUGAGAUUGUGUCUGCUUUAGAGUACUUGCACGGCAAGGGCAUCAUUCACAGGGACCUUAAACCGGAAAACAUUUUGUUAAAUGAAGAUAUGCACAUCCAGAUCACAGAUUUUGGAACAGCAAAGGUCUUAUCCCCAGAGAGCAAACAAGCCAGGGCCAACUCAUUCGUGGGAACAGCGCAGUACGUUUCUCCAGAGCUGCUCACGGAGAAGUCCGCCUGUAAGAGAUUUUACAUGAGGACCCAUGGCAUGGCCCAGCAGGAGCUGCUCAAGCCCCAUCCUAACAGGCUUCCUGAGGACACAUCAGCCCAGCUGGGCACCUGGAAUUACGGGCAGAGGGGCCCUGUCGAGGGGGCUGAUGUGUGGACUAAACACCUGCACACGUCACCCCAGGCACCCUCGAGUGACUUCCAGUGACUCGCCAGAGAGCAGAGCACGGUGAGUCCUCUGUGAGAAGCCGACAGUUCCUGCAGGUCCACCAAGGCCCGGUCACAUCAGGAGGCUUCAGAGGCACCAGGUGACCCAGGCCUCUCCCCAACAGACCUGAGCCUGUAGCAUCUCGGGAAACCCCUGACGGUGUGGCCACGUCUUGCCGCCUACAGCCUAACCCUGACCAGCCACCAUCCCAGGUCUAGGUCCGCCCUUAUAGAACGCCCGCGGCAGCGUCACGUGGCAGGCAGAAGUUCCCACCCGGAAAAGCAGCAGGCUGGGCCCGCUUCCGGCGGGAGUGGAACCGGGUUUGGGGCGCCAACGCUAGAGGGCACUGGCAGCGAACCACCCCCAACCGCGCCCCCACUCCGUGAGGGGGUCAAAGGAAGAGCCACGCCAGCAAACCUCUACACUCUACAUGCUUUUUAUUACAAGACUACUGAGCAUACGAGGAAAAUUCAUCAUCUGGUAACUACACCUAAAGCACAUAUAUUUGGGAAAAAAAAAAGAGAUUCAUUAAAUUAUAUGAUUAAAUCACUGACCCAAUAGAAAAUUUAUAUAAUAAAGCCAGAAAAAAAGUUGUAAAAUAUAGUUUACAAUAAUUAUUCACAUUCAAGGCUGUACAUCAAUACAUACAACAACGUGGCCCCGAACAUGAAUUCAAUCCAAAUAAUUCAUAUAUUAGAAUUUAAAUAACACAGACUGAACUAGAGGCCAACAAUAGCCAGCAAAUAACCUUAUAUAAGAAUAAAAAUACAAAAGUGUAUAUCCUAAUAUCAUUGCAUUGUUUUCAUAAGUCUCUUAAUUUUUGCUUUGCCUGUACAUCACAGUUACAGCUACAGACCAGGUAGAGAUUACGCAUGUUCUGACUGCCACCCGCCUGAAAGACGUACUCGUCAUUUCUCCUAUUUUAUGUUGUGAAGGAACAGCUACAGCAGCUCUAAAUACUGUAACAAUUAAAUUUUGCCAACGUCCAACUUACAGUCAUAAUAGAGGCUUUUACCAGCACAAUGACCCCUAUUUGUAGUCAUUCUGCCAGAUGGUUAGGCUACGUGGGUUACACGGCUAAAAAAAGGUCUGCCUUUUGUAAAAAGUUCCCUGUACGUAGUUUGGUGUUUCUUCAUAUUGAAGAAAUGAGUUAUGGGGAAAAUUCAGGUACACACAUAGGCUCGUUCAGUUGUGCUCACCACAGCCAUAGCAACAGAUCAAAGUGCUCUUUGUUGGAAACAGCUUCCUCCUCACAUCAGUUCUCCACAGGCAGCCUCAUUUACAACCCUGCAAUUUUGGGCCAGAAGUGGUGGCCCCUCAGAGGCUCUGAAGUGCCUCCAGCCCCAAUUCAGGCACUUGCCACGUGUGCUGCGUAAGAAGGGACCCCACCCAGUGAGUCAACAUAGGUUCAUGUCAGGUUUGAGUUUGAAAAUAACUGGGGAAAAGUGUAUGACAGCAUCUUCCACAACAUAGUACCUUCACCAUAUUCUCACAGCAGCUGCGCUCUGAAGUCCCAGCAGUGAGCACCCCGGCUUUGUGGACCAGCCAGGCAAGGGGGCUUCAGGCUUCAGAGGAGGGCAAGAAACCAAAUUCUGUGCUAUUUGGCCAUACUCUCUGGUAGAGUGAAGCAGCACUGAACGCGGUGCCUAGAAAAACCUCCUGCAUGUUCCCCCGUACAAGCAAUGGACCCCAACUAAAGUGGAGAAAUAAAAAUCCAACCAAAUUUAGGUGGUCUGGACUUGCCGCCAGCCAGGCAAUCUGCAAUACUGUGGGCAGGGAGUGGGGAAGAGACGGCCUGAAAUCUACACCAGCUGGGACAACCACGCCCUACAAUGAAAAAGCCAGCCUCGCUGCCGGGCUCUUCUGAACCACUAAGGCCUGAAGCAGGGGCGGAAGCGGGGAGACAAAUGCACUCAGAAAACCCAAUCAGCGACAUGGUUUUUUUCAAGUAGAGGCUUUGCUCUGCUACUGAUUCCAAAUGGCCUAAUGUACUUUCUGAGUCUAUAAACUUAAUUACAAAUCA